rnacentral:rRNA from 1 species
ACAGGGCAUUCCCUUAGUACGGCGAGUGAACCGGGAUGAGCUCAAAUUUAAAAUCUGGCGUCUUUCAGGCGUCCGAGUUGUAAUCUAUAGAGGCGUUUUCCGCGCCGGACCGCGUCCAAGUCCCUUGGAAUAGGGUAUCAAAGAGGGUGACAAUCCCGUACUUGACGCGACAACCGGUGCUCUGUGAUACGUUCUCAACGAGUCGAGUUGUUUGGGAAUGCAGCUCUAAACGGGUGGUAAAUUCCAUCUAAGGCUAAAUAUUGGCGAGAGACCGAUAGCGAACAAGUACCGUGAGGGAAAGAUGAAAAGCACUUUGGAAAGAGAGUUAAACAGCACGUGAAAUUGUUAAAAGGGAAACGAUUGAAGUCAGUCGUGUGGGAGGUAUUCAGCCGUCUCUGGCGGUGUAUUUGCCUCUCACGGGUCAACAUCAGUUUGAUCCGGUAGAAAAAGGCGGGAGGAAGGUGGCACCCUCGGGUGUGUUAUAGCCUCCUGUCACAUGUGCCGGACCAGACUGAGGAACGCAGCUUGCAGCAAUGCCGGGGUUCGCCCACGUACAAGCUUAGGAUGUUGACAUAAUGGCUUUAAACGACCCGUCUUGAACACCGGAACCA